rnacentral:RNase_P_RNA from 1 species
GUUUUUGGAUAAUUGCGCGAUUUCUUGGGUCAAACCUUGUGAAUCGUGAGGAAAGUCCAUGCUCGCGCGGGCUGCGACGCCCGCAGUGUUUGUGCUAGGCGAAACAAUAAGCCUAGGUAGGUGUGUCAGACCUAACGGCUGAAUUUUAGCUAAGUUUUCUCACGAAGAUAUGCGACAAAUUCUGUAAAAGUGCCAUAGAGACGAGUUGCUUUGGAAACAAGGCAAGUGGAACGUGGUAAACCCCUCAAGCGAGCAACCCAAACUUAUGGUAGGGG